rnacentral:rRNA from 1 species
GNACGCUGGCGGCGUGCCUACACAUGCAAGUCGAGCGAAGCAUUUAGGUUAGCUUGCUAAUCUUUAUGACUGAGCGGCGAACGGGUGAGUAACACGUGGUAAUCUACCUGAAAGUCUGGGAUAACAGUUCGAAAGGGCUACUAAUACCGGAUGACAUUAUGAUGUAGAGUCAUCAAUCAAAGCGUUACGGAGCGCUUUCAGAUGAGCCCGCGUCCCAUUAGCUAGUUGGUAAGGUAAAGGCUCACCAAGGCGACGAUGGGUAGCCGGUCUGAGAGGAUGGACGGCCACACUGGAACUGAGACACGGUCCAGACUCCUACGGGAGGCAGCAGUGGGGAAUUUUCGACAAUGGGGGGAACCCUGAUCGAGCCAUCCCGCGUGUGGGACGAAGGCCUUCGGGUUGUAAACCACUUUUCUCAACGAAGAAAAGCCUUAGACUAAUACUCUGAGGUGCUGACGGUAGUUGAGGAAUAAGCACCGGCUAACUAUGUGCCAGCAGCCGCGGUAAUUCAUAGGGUGCAAGCGUUAAUCGGAAUUACUGGGCGUAAAGGGUGCGCAGGCGGCUUGGAAAGAACGGUGUGAAAUCCCGGGGCUCAACCCCGGAACUGCACUAUUAACUAUCAAGCUAGAGUAUGUCAGAGGGGGGUGGAAUUCCGCGUGUAGCAGUGAAAUGCGUAGAUAUGCGGAGGAACACCAAUGGCGAAGGCAGCCCCCUGGGAUAAUACUGACGCUCAGGGCACGAAAGCGUGGGUAGCAAACAGGAUUAGGUACCCUGGUAGUCCACGCCCU